UUGUUCUUGUAAGGAACAAUUAUUAAGUAAAUGACAAAAUACCAAUAUUUGUACUAUAUAUACAUUUUAUAUUACAGAUUAUGGAAUUGUUGCGCUAAAUUUGUCGAAAGUAUGUAACUCUAAAAAAACCGUUUUAUACUCACGAUUUUUCCACAUGUUUAACACUCUUUUGUAAGCACCUGGUACCAUUCGGAAAUCAUCCUCCACAACUUUAUGAACUUCAGACAUUUUAAAUGUACUUUAUUUGCAUCAAUAGCUACACGUUUCGAACUGAUCGACGUAAUAAAAUAACUAUACAAAAUUAAAAGACAGAUGGAUUCGACGUGUAACUGAUGAGUGAUGAUAACGGACUCACUUCGUCAGCUUUCACGAUGGCAUUUUAAUCUCGCAUCAGGAUCGCAGGACCGUAUCACAUAACCAACUGAAUAGUAAAAAGUCUGACCUAUGAAUUUUGUUGUUUCUUUCAAUUUCAAAUUAUACGAAAAUUUCAUUUAUUAAACGAUUAAACGAAUUGAUUUCUAAUUGAAAACAUCAAAUAUAAUCUAGAAAUUCUCGAUAUCUGUAUUGUACGCUUGAUAUUUCCUAACUAAAUUUAUGUAUUCACUUUUUUUCGCGGAAAAAAAGAACGUUUUCCCUCAAUACAUACGCUUAAUAUCAUUUGAGAACAUGGAAACACGAAAAUAUAAAAUCUUCGUUGCGAUGCAAAGAGAUAUUUUGAUCGUUUAAUUAUUAUUAUUAUUAUUAUUAUUAUUAUUAAUUAGAUUGUACAUAUAUGUUUAUACGAUACAAUUACAAAUACAUCAAGAUACAUUACCAGGUGUCAAGAGUCAGGUGCACUCUAGUAUGACUCACAGUUGAAACGUUGCAAGAAGCACAAACUGCACACGUAUAAUUGUGUUCAUAACCAAACGAACGCUCUCUCAUAUUUUUCAUUUUGAAAAGUUGAUAUGUACCUAGCGGCUAUGGUAUGCUUUAUUGCACUAUUGUGCAGAAUAUGAUUACUCACUCACCAAUAUGACGGCUUACGGGAGUUCAGCACCAUGUAUGCUGUCACCUUAUGACAAUCGAUUUGACAAUAACACAACAAACACGAUACGCAAGUAAUACGAAUUCAGUCUGACAACAUUACUACACUGGGGCGUUUGCCGGAUACCGGAAGUACUACUCUUGCUAUUAUGGGAGCUUAGAAUCCUUUACUGCACAUGCGCCUACAUUCGAGCGCAUUGCAUUCAAAAUGAAAUUGUACUGUAUCGUAUCAAUAUCGGUUAUAAAUUUAUAGUAAUCUGAUUACGAGACGAGAAAAGUUCUCUCUUCUAUUUAAUAGAUCAAUAAACUUGACUAUACUUUAUAUAA